rfam:TPA: Bos taurus chromosome 18, whole genome shotgun sequence.
UCCCUGGUGGUCCAGCAGUUAGGACUCGGCGCUUUCAAUACCAAGGGCCAGGGUUCAAUCCCUGGUCAGGGAA